UUCUCAGUUCGGAUUGUAGGCUGCAACUCGCCUACAUGAAGUCGGAGUUGCUAGUAAUCGCGGAUCAGAAUGCCGCGGUGAAUGCGUUCCCGGGUCUUGUACACACCGCCCGUCACACCAUGGAAGUUGGGGGCGCCCGAAGUUGCCUAAGAAAUAAGGUACCUAAGGCGAAACCAAUGACUGGGGUGAAGUCGUAACAAGGUAAC
rnacentral:rRNA from 1 species